CCUACGGGGGGCAGCAGUGGGGAAUAUUGCACAAUGGGGGAAACCCUGAUGCAGCGACGCCGCGUGAAGGAAGAAGUAUUUCGUUAUGUAAACUUCUAUCAGCAGGGAAGAAAAUGACGGUACCUGAGUAAGAAGCCCCGGCUAACUACGUGCCAGCAGCCGCGGGAAUACGUAGGGGGCAAGCGUUAUCCGGAUUUACUGGGUGUAAAGGGAGCGUAGGCGGGGGGGCAAGUCUGAAGUGAAAGGCCGGGGCUCAACCCCGGGACUGCUUUGGAAACUGUAGGACGUGAGUGCAGGAGAGGUAAGUGGAAUUCCUAGUGUAGCGGUGAAAUGCGUAGAUAUUAGGAGGAACACCAGUGGCGAAGGCGGCUUACUGGACUGUAAAUGACGCUGAGGCUCGAAAGCGUGGGGAGCAAACAGGAUUAGAUACCCGAGUAGUC
rnacentral:rRNA from 1 species